rnacentral:rRNA from 1 species
UUAAGUCCCGCAACGAGCGCAACCCUUAUCUUUAAUUGCCAGCAUUCAGUUGGGCACUUUAAGAGACUGCCGGUGUUAAACCGGAGGAAGGUGGGGAUGACGUCAAGUCCUCAUGGCCUUUAUGCUUAGGGCUACACACGUGCUACAAUGGGUGGUACAAAGAGAAGCCAACUCGCGAGAGCGCGCCAAUCUCAAAAAGCCAUCCUCAGUUCGGAUUGGAGUCUGCAACUCGACUCCAUGAAGUUGGAAUCGCUAGUAAUCGCGGAUCAGCAUGCCGCGGUGAAUACGUUCCCGGGCCUU